UGUUCUGUGUCGCUGUGUGUGUUCGGUC
rnacentral:piRNA from 1 species